AAGGCUUCCUGCCAAAGGCUAAAACUGCCAAAUCCUCAUCCUUGUCUGGAAACACAGGCGGUAGUAGGUUAUAUUCCUUGUGAAGUUAUCCACCUGGCUACCCUCUGUUCCCAGUCUCACAACAGCACUGCUUUAAUGGCUGAUGCGUUCUGUCACACUUUUUUUGUGGACAAAGAGCACCUUUUCUGUAGAGAAGGACCAGAGAAGAAGAUGGAAAGACCUGGGAGUCCUGCACCUGGUACUGAGGUGAGAAGACAUCGCCAGGAGAAGGAAUAUGGAUAACAUAGAUGCCAAAACCUCCAUGUCAGAGCAGCAAGAUCUAUCUGUGGUAUUUGCAGUCACGUAAUUGCUUUUGCUGUUUUUCUGUAUUUUACAUUACAAAGGAGGUUCAAAAUAUAUCUGAAGUAGAAGUAUGUGCCAAACAUACAGCAGAAAAAUUCACUGAAAGAAAUAGAAAUAGAAAAAAACACGCAAACCACAGCAUGGGGCAAUCUUCCCAAGCAACAGCAGAAUCUAAUCAGGGUUGCCUAAUUUUUUUCCCACUCAAAACAAACGCUUUCAAAUUAGAAGGGUUUAAGACUGUAGGAAGGACAGACUAUUCACACCCCACCUCCUUAUUUUAAUAUUAUCUUUUUUUACACAACUUUGGAAACCUAGCAUGCCGACCUUGGUUAAUUCCUGUGAAUCAUACAAGCCUUAAUUGGUUUUGGAAGGGUCUCCAGAUCUCUCUAGAAAAGGUUAAGCAUUAUUUAUUUGCCUUCGUUACUAUCCAAACCUAUGUGAUUUCUGAACAGGUUUGACAUUCAAACUAAUUAAGGAUAAGCAAAAGAGGAAAAAAGCCUUUAUAUGAGUUCUAAACAAAAAUUUACAAAAGAAAGAAAUGUAAAGCAGUAAUGGCAAAAGCCAUAUAUUAUAUAACACCCCUGCACCAUUCUUCUUUAGUAUAGAAGAGCUGCAGAAUGCCUCUUGCUAGUUCCUGUGUUUAUGAGAUCCAAUCUGAAAGAGGGUAAGAGUUGUGUCGGUUCUUUUCUAGCUUUAAGGCACAUGGUAACCGUAUCGUUGUCAUUAUUUUCUAAAAUAAUAGAUGAGUUUUGAUUUUGUUUCAUUUACAAGAUGUCAUUCAUAUAUGAAAUAUUCUGAAAGUACAGCUCUUUCUCUACCAAAGUGUGAGAACUAGGUUCCUGCAUGGUGAUCUCCCUGCAGUCAUGGCCUCCUCAACCCCUCCGCUUGCUGCAAAGGUAGGACCCAUGAAUAUGCAUGUCGAUGAAAUGCAAUCAAUUAUUUUGCAGUAUGUUUGUUGCACUCAGGUCAAUUUGAUUUGAGGAAUUAGAUUAAGAUUCCCAUAGGUUUUUCAUACUGUAAAUUUAGAAGGAUAUUUACGGAUUUCUAAACACAUUUGUCAGCUAGACAAUAAGCUUGCUGGCAGAUGGGAGUUAGCCCGAGGUUUGCAUCCCACAUAACAUUUCUUUUUUUCUCUCCUUGAAGAGAAAAAUGCCUCUCUGCUGUCCCUAAAUGUUUGGUGUUAUGUGAGAGAGCAAAGGCAGCAAAGUGCCUGUAGAAAAUCCUUGAGCACAUGGCAGUGCUUAGGUCACUAAUAUGUACUAACAACUUGCAACAGGACAGUCCUACAAGAUCUACCUCACAACUGCUGUUAAAUUAAAUGUUAAUUAUGCUUGUGCUAGUUGUGCGUUUGUGCUUUGGAAAAGAGCACUUUUAUCCUGCUUAUCACUUCUCAUGCUGUCAUGUGAUCUGCUAGGUAUCGGCCCCACAUAGCUAUGAACAGAGCAAACAGACACCCACCACAUACCUGCAAGGACUGUGUGAAACAAUGAAGUUACAGAUAUGUCAGAAGUAAAGGCAGUCUUUGUAAAUAGCUGGCACCUAAUUACUUUGCAGCAGAGCUGAGACAAGGCAGUGCCUCUGGUCCCACAAGUAUUGCUAAAGUUUGUUACUGUACCAAUUAAAAUAAAGCGCUGCCAGCAUUAAAAACUGAAACAUUUGCUCUGCGCUUAGAGGAAAGGGGUGUUAUUAGUUGACUGAAGAAGUGUACUGUGAUCCUUUGUAUUUGUUUCCCUCUCAAUUGUUUAUUCUCUGAAAGAUAAUGAAGGAGAACUUCAAUUCUGGAACAUUUUUAACAACCAGCCAAAUCUCCUCAUUGCUUCUAGCUGACCUCAGAUAAGCUAGAUCUUCAACAGGACAUUCCUUUAAGACAAAUGAUCCAAUACACCUUAUUUCCUUGGUACCAGAUCCCUUUUGACUGCUAUAGUUUAUUAUGGUUAGUCCAUUAUAAAUUACAUGAUGUCUCCAGGGACCCAUUCUGAACUUGAAAUAUCACAAGACUGCUAUCGUGCAUAAUGCUGCAAAGAGCAGCUAAAUUUAUAUCCACUAAAAAUGUGCUUUCCAUUGCAGAGCAACCCACUUUAAGUAUACUCUGUUAUUUUCUGUUUGUCCAGUUUUAUCUUUCUCAGAAAAUGUUCAUGGAAAAUCUGGGUUUGUUUGUGCUUGGUGUACAGUGUGAUUAUCAUUAUUUUAUAAAACUUGGACAUUCUCUCAAAUUCCCCUAGAGACAAAGCAUGUAAAGGGCAAUUUUGACUGCCAGCCCAUGUAAAUUCUCUCAGACCGUAUAAAAAGACAACAGUGGCAGAUUGGCUCCAGGAGCUUAUGGUUUCUUCUGUUACUAAACAGCACAGCAAAUAGAACAGCUUGUGAAACGAAAGUUGUGCUAACAUAUAGAUAAUGACAGCUUAGUUGUGCAGUUUCAAAGCAUGCCCUAAGAUGUCAUUUUAAAAGUUGCAUUUGUUUAUUUAUUUAUUUAUUUUACUUUGAACUGGAGUACUGUGGCCUGUUUUCACAAAAUGAAAAAACAAAGCAUAACUUUCUGAUUCUGCAUUACUGUUUCACCUUCUGUAGAGGGGAGAAUGGCUUUUAAUGUCCUUGGGAUCCUAUAUUCUAUAAAUCACUAUCUACAAAAAGUACAUUCAUAGGAAUUCUGCCAUAAUACCUCCUGAGUGUAUAAUAAGAAAAAUAUAUGGCAGGACUAUUAUGUUACUACUUGACAUGGCUUCUUGACAUGGUUAAGUAGUCAAUAAUCUAUUCCACUGAGGAGAUGUUUACAGGAGUAGAGAGAAGCAAGUUAAAUUGAAAGGAUUCUUCUGUUUGAUUUUUUUUUUUUCACUGAAUCUUCUUUAGAUGGUAACCAAUUACAUCCUUUCAGGCAGGAAACAACUCAGUCAUAAGUGAUUCUACAUGACUUUUGUCUGGAGAAAGUGUUGUGGUAGCCAUUGGCUACUGGAAAUGAAGUUGUGUGCAGUGAUAAUAGAUUUGUUGGGUUCAUAAGCUCUUUCACCUCUUGGAAAGAAAGAGAUAGGUGAAAGUAAGUACUCCAGAUCUCCAGAUGUCUUGACACCAUAUUACAUCAGAUGAGUGAUGGGCUAGAAUUAUUUUUCAGUGAUGGUCUUUGCAGCAGCAAACAUCAAGUUGUCCCAGAUGCUAUCCCUUUAUACUCCUUUGGAGCUCUUCUAAAAAAAUUAAUCUCCUCUCUCUAGAACGGGAGACGUCUGAGGUGUUGAUUAACAAACUAAAAGGAAGGAUUCCUCACUAUGUCUGAAUGCUCCUUCUCAUCAUUUAAAAGAAGUCAGAGGUAAAUACUACAUGUCUACCUGUUUACUUACAGGUGUUUGAAACUUCUCUUUCUCUUUAGAGUGUUGCAAUGAGAAGCCAUAACAAAAUAAAACUCGGGGAAAAAAAACAAAAACGACAGUGUAAGUAGUACUAUUUUAGAUGACAUUAGAGUCCAGGGCAAGGGAAUGAAAUAAAUAAAGUUUGAGGAUUGAAAAUCUGAACCUCUCCUUGCAGGCUGUGUGAGUCCAGGAACUAAUAAACAUCUUUUGAUCAUCUGGACACCAGGAAAGUUCAUGCAUAACCUGAAGGUUCAUAAAUUAUAAAAGAUAUUUUCUUAAGCUGAUUUUAAUGAAGAACAAGAGCUUUUAUAGGUUAGACUUUGAAUGGGAAAAGGUUAAUGUAGACAGUAAUUACUGAUCUGUGAAUACUGCUGGAAAUACUGUACUAUUCUGCAUGCUUAUUUGGGCUACUUCUAUGUAGGAAAAUAAUUCAACGCUUUUAUGGAAUCACUAUAAUAUUCAGAAACACAAACACAUGUUUGCUGGGUCUGGUGGUUAUGUAAGGAGGCACUUAAAAUAAUCCAGAAGAAUGGUGAAAAGGGCUUUUUCCAUUCUUCAUAAAUGUCAGCACUGUAAAAGGGGAUACGAAUAUAAAAAAUUUGUUUAAUGCAAUUCUUUGCUGCAAGUGGUAGAUUUCUACCUUCAGAAAGUGUCAGCUUUGUAGAAAAGGCUCUGAGAGACCUUGGGGACAAUCAGCUGACAUCAAGUCUGUAGUGUGCCCUUGCAGCAAUGAGGCCAGUUUUACUUGAGCAGUAUUAUAAGGAGCAUAGCAAGCAGCUAAAGAGAAAAUCUUUCUUGAUGGAUGAUGGCUAUAUUUAAAUAUCAUGCACUGAUCAACAAGUCUUCUUAAAAAAGUAGUGGUCUGUCCAUAGAGUAUUGAUCCAGUAGCAAGAUAAUUGUUGACUAAUUUCUCGUUUUCUUUUAGUUGAUAAUAAUACAGAAAAUUCAGUGCACCUGAGUGCAAUAUGAGCAUCUUUAUUGAAUUCAUUCUUCAUGCAAGUCCUUCUCAAAAUCAAAAGUGUGUUCUAUACAGUGUCAUAUUACUGAGGUGUAUUUGGAGAAAUUAUUAAGUGGGAAAAGUAUGAUUUUUUUCUAUGCUAUACCCCUACUCAUGUUUGUUGAAAUCUAAAAUGAAUGUAAUCUCAAUGUUAAGAAAAUUAAGUAUCUAAAUUAUAUGUGUACUUAAUAUUACUUGAAGCAAUGAGCCUAGUUUAAGGAAAAGUUUUCUUCAGGUUUAAUCAUU
rnacentral:lncRNA from 1 species